CCUUAUCAAGAGUGGCUGAGGGAAUAGGCCCUUUGAAGCCCGGCAACCUGUGAAGGCCGUAUGGCCAGUCAAGGUGCCAAGUCCUACAGAACGUGUCCGUUUGGCGGAUCACGGAAUCUGAAAGAUGAG
rnacentral:ncRNA from 1 species